rnacentral:tRNA from 1 species
AGAGCUAUAGCUCAGCUAGGUAGAGCACCUCGUUUACACCGAUAAGGUAUACGGUUCGAGUCCGUAUAGCCCUA